CAGCUCCCAGGGCAGUGGCAAGUCCCAGAAGGAACGGCAGUGGGGAGAUGAAAAGCCGGGAUGCAUGGAUGGAUGGGUGGACGGUGGCCAAGUCAAGCACUUGGCAAAGGUAAAUGAAGGCAAGACCAUUCUGUCUUCGCAUGGCAAACAGGAGAAUGCUUCUCGGGAUUCCUGCUACAUGGACUGAAGAACGGUGUUAACUCCGGAUGAAUUGUCUCAUUUCCCCACCUCUACAAGAACCACCAGGACACCAGUGCAGAGAAGCAUAGAGUGAUGAAGGACCAAUGGGGAGCCAAGAGUCUUGUGCUGUCCUCUGUUUGAUCUCUUCCCCACCCCAGCCCUGAUAUUUCCCACACGUGUGCAGCCCCAGUCUUCCCCUCCUCACCCCAUCCUCAAUCUUCCCUCUCUUUCCUUCUGACUCUCCUCUUACCUAUCCCUUUCCAUCUCUCUACACCACAUUUGUUAUUAAAUAAGUUCUCUGUUGUUGACUUUGGUA